AGGUGGAGAAGGGACUCUUGAAAAGCUGGAGCUCUGAACUAAGUAGAAACAGUCUUUUCUCAGGAUGACAGAAGUAAUAUGAAGAAAAGAUAAAGCUUGAAAGAAAAGUGAGAGGAAAGAGAACGGAUGACUUCUGUCCAAGUUUGAACAGACAUGCUUCACUUGAACAUUGCCCUCUCCAGAACUUGACAGCUGCUGAGGUAUUUAGUCCAUCAGUAUGUGCUUCCUGAAUGGUUACAGACCAAGUGGUGUUUUGAAGGACUGUGUAUGUACAUGUGUGUUAGCCAUCCAGUUUUGGCCAUAUUUUACUCAGCAUUUAUGUCCUGAUACAGGAAUUCUCUUUCUGAGGAAGCAUUCUUCACUCACAGACCUUAAUUUGAUUGUGCGCAAAGUGAGUCUUCAAGUCAGUAGCUCAUUAUUGGAAUCUUGUUCAGUUGUAGUUCAGUGGAAACUUUUAUUCAUGGUGGUGGAAGUUUAACAAAAAUGUAUGAUUUGAUAAGGUAUCUGCCUUUCGAAUACGUGAUGUCUCAGCAGCUCUGUAGUUUUCAAAUACAAUUUUGUCUGUUAUUUGGCUUCAUCCUCAAUUUAAAUGUAUUCCACAGUCAGGUCCAAAACCUACCUCAUCAGCUUAUUUUUCUCGGAAAGUAGUUUUCCAUUAUUUUUCU